UUGCUGCUAGUUGAGCCAACUUGCCAACAUCCCUGAUGGAGGCUCAAUGUGCAGUGGCUAUAAAAAGCAGAUUCCCUGGUUGUGUAUGCAGCUCAUUCCUUGUAUAUGUUGCUCUAAAGGACCUUGAAGACAUCA
rnacentral:snoRNA from 1 species